GGGUGAUCUGGCAUUCAGUUGAAGAUUCAAAUGACUUGACAGCUUUAGGAUCAAUGGGCUCUGUGAGGCUAGCUUUGGAUAAGCGAGUUGAAACAGGGGAAAAGAUAGAUCGAUCAAGUAAUUGAUUUGUGGGAUUACAGAUCUUAGAACUUAGUCCUGAAGACUGGACUGGAUUUUGAAACCCAUCAGAAGCUGGUAAUGAGGGCAUUUCCAGUGAGGUAGUUUCUUUGUCACUAUUCUCUGGUCUGUGGCCCACUCCAGCUGCAGUAAACACACACUACAUGCAUCAAGGCUUCUGACGUUCUGCUUCCUCUACAGACUUCUGUAUUGCUUCUGCUAGUUCCUGGUCAGCAAUCUCCUCUGGCCGCACGUCUUCC
rnacentral:lncRNA from 1 species